AGUGCUUAUUUCCACAGCGAGGGAGGUUUGAGCCUGCCCUCUGCGAGGGCGCUGCUGCUCUCUCCUGGGCACGAGGUGGUUUCCAGCACUGCUGUUCUAUUGCCUGUGUCUCUGGGAGGCAGUGAGCGCCCGGAGCAGGGCUCAGGUGCCCAGGCGGUGGCUGUGGGUGCUGUGUGUCCGUGGUGGCCAUGGCAGCGUGGCCCGGCCUCAGCUGUGCGGGGUAGGUCACGGUCCCUCCUGCUCACCGCGUGCCUGCAGCUGAGGUCCCGCCUGCCCUGCCGAACUCGAGAUUGCAGAGGGGCCGUGGGGCUGCCCCACAGCGACGGGGCCGGGGCGCGGGGCGGGCGCUGCGGGUGCGGAACCAACCGCGGGAGCUGCGCGCGUGCUCCGUGCUCCCUGCGCUCUCGGGGGGGGGGGCACCCCGCGCGGCAGCGCGCUGGGGGCGGGGCGGCCGGCAGGGGGCGCUGUCCGCGUGGCGGAGCGGCCGGCGUGGCGCCCCGGGCUGGGGGGAGACUGCGCGGAGCAGCGCGUGCGGGAUGGCGUGUGACGUCACUCGCGUGGUGGGUUAGGGAGGGAGCGCGGCUGGCACUGCGGGGAGAGCUGGGAGCUCGGGGUCCUGCGUUGCUGCAGCAGUGCAAGGCUCUCGCCGUGCUUUCCUCCGUCCGUCGCUUUGUGUUGUACUGCCCCAUCUCCGGGCCCUUUCCUGCUACGUACAGUCCCGCGCUUCUCAGCAGAAGUUCUGCCCGGUGCAAAGACGGCGUAACGCGUCCCGCAGGCGCGGCCCUGUCCCCCCUGUGGGCGGCGGGCCCUGAGGCCUCGUGCCGUGUUUGUGUGCUGCGCGGCUUGGCCGGGCUGCGGCUGCUGCCGCCGGCCCUGGGCGUUAACCUCGGCUGCCCGCCCCUGCGACUUCGCUACCUGCAUGGCAGCCUGGCAGCAGAGCCGCGGGUGUUGUUCAGUGGUCUCACAGAGACGUGCAGGAAUGAACACUGGCAGAUCCCUCUGUCAGUGCCUGCUUCCUGCAGCAGCCCUGUGCAAGGGAUGGGUUUCCUUUGCUGCGCUGUCCCGGCUGUGCGGGGGGCUUGUUGCCAGGGGUUCUCCCCCACAGACAGUAGUAGCGGCUGCUCUGUUUUCUGCUCCAGUAUUCUACUUUGCUCUGCAAAAGGACAGGUCCAAGCACCACAGUGA
rnacentral:lncRNA from 1 species